UAUUAUCCAUUACUUAAAAUCUAGUUAGGCUUAGGUAGUAACAGUAUAUGUUCUUGAAACUUAAAGGAAUUGGCGGUAUCCCAGUCAAGUUAGGGGAACCUGUCCUGUAAUCGACAAUACACGAAAAAUCUUACUUUAUCUAGUUUGAUAUUACCCAUAUCAUUCAGUUUGUAUACCGCCAUUGUAAAAUACCCUCUAAAGAGGUCGUUGAAAUAGGUUAUACCUAGUAAAUUAGGUCAUGGUGCAGCCCAUGAUAAAGGUUGAGAUGGGUUACAAUUUUUGUAAAAUAACGGAUGGAAGGUGUAAAUAUCUUCUUGAAGGUGGACUUAACAGUAAUAUAAUUUUAACAAGUUUAUAUGGAGUUUGCUCUGGGAUAUGUA
rnacentral:rRNA from 1 species